UGGCGGACGGGUGAGUAACACGUGGGUAACCUGCCUAAGUGGGGAUAACAUUUGGAAACAGAUGCUAAUACCGCAUAAAACCUAACACCGCAUGGUGUAGGGUUGAAAGAUGGUUUCGGCUAUCGCUUUAGGAUGGACCCGCGGUGCAUUAGUUAGUUGGUGAGGUAAAGGCUCACCAAGACCGUGAUGCAUAGCCGACCUGAGAGGGUAAUCGGCCACACUGGGACUGAGACACGGCCCAGACUCCUACGGGAGGCAGCAGUAGGGAAUCUUCCACAAUGGACGAAAGUCUGAUGGAGCAACGCCGCGUGAGUGAAGAAGGUUUUCGGAUCGUAAAACUCUGUUGUUGGAGAAGAAUGUAUCUGAUAGUAACUGAUCAGGUAGUGACGGUAUCCAACCAGAAAGCCACGGCUAACUACGUG
rnacentral:rRNA from 1 species